rnacentral:rRNA from 1 species
UACGUAGGGUGCAAGCGUUGUCCGGAAUUAUUGGGCGUAAAGAGCUCGUAGGCGGUCUGUCGCGUCGGCUGUGAAAUCCCGAGGCUCAACCUCGGGUCUGCAAUCGAUACGGGCAAACUAGAGUAUUGCAGGGGAGACUGGAAUUCCUGGUGUAGCGGUGAAAUGCGCAGAUAUCAGGAGGAACACCGGUGGCGAAGGCGGGUCUCUGGGCAGUAACUGACGCUGAGGAGCGAAAGCGUGGGGAGCGAACAGG